GGAUGAGUUGGACGUCACAGUGGAGGUGUGUCGACCCAGCACAACUCCAGCAGAGGGAAAACAGGCUGGUGAAAACAGUCUGAGUGAAUACCAGCUUGCUCAAGAGGACUCAAAGGAGUCUGAAUCCAUGCACAGGUGUAUUCCUACCAUCAGUUGUUUGCCAGACCUCGCUGAGAUUGCAGACCUCUCCAGCAUAUCCUGUUCACCAGCCAAUCACCUAGAAUGGGUGGAGUCAGCUGAAGCCCCGCCCAUCCCUCUCAGCAGAGGACAUCCACCCUGUAACAGCACCCCACGCAGCCCAAAAAGCCAUAGGACACACCUUAAAGAUGUGCAGGUUGGCACUGAGCCCCUCCCUCACCUCCAGAGCUUGUUGGACACGUCACCAUGGGGCAGUGCUCCAUCCCAUACUGUCUGCACAGAGAGUUACGCCACAGUCAGCGCAGGAGACAGCAGCACUGUCAGUCAAUGAAUCAUGAUAUUUGAAUAAUAUAUUUCUGUCAACAAUCAUAUCGGUAUCGGGCAAUAAAUGUGACUUUUUAUGUUUUCCAUAUCAGACCAAUAAGUAAAAUAGACUGAUAUACAGCUGACAGUUUAUACUCAAAUAAACACCCCAGAUUGUUUACACCAGUU
rnacentral:lncRNA from 1 species